rnacentral:rRNA from 1 species
UUAAGCAUAUCAAUAAGCGGAGGAAAAGAAACCAACCGGGAUUGCCUUAGUAACGGCGAAGUGAAGCGGCAAAAGCUCAAAUUUGAAAUCUGGUACCUUCGGUGCCCGAGUUGUAAUUUGGAGAGGGCAACUUUGGGGCCGUUCCUUGUCUAUGUUCCUUGGAACAGGACGUCAUAGAGGGUGAGAAUCCCGUGUGGCGAGGAGUGCGGUUCUUUGUAAAGUGCCUUCGAAGAGUCGAGUUGUUUGGGAAUGCAGCUCUAAGUGGGUGGUAAAUUCCAUCUAAAGCUAAAUAUUGGCGAGAGACCGAUAGCGAACAAGUACAGUGAUGGAAAGAUGAAAAGAACUUUGAAAAGAGAGUGAAAAAGUACGUGAAAUUGUUGAAAGGGAAGGGCAUUUGAUCAGACAUGGUGUUUUGUGCCCUCUGCUCCUUGUGGGUAGGGGAAUCUCGCAUUUCACUGGGCCAGCAUCAGUUUUGGUGGCAGGAUAAAUCCAUAGGAAUGUAGCUUGCCUCGGUAAGUAUUAUAGCCUGUGGGAAUACUGCCAGCUGGGACUGAGGACUGCGACGUAAGUCAAGGAUGCUGGCAUAAUGGUUAUAUGCCGCCC